CUACUAUAGUAGUAUUAACAGUGUUGUCAAAGAGACUUGAAAUACGCGUCAUUACUGUAGCGGGUUCCCCAUAGCUACAUGUCUGGCUGAGAAUCGAACUGUUAAUUAUUGCAAGGAAUAACGAUGUCGGAAGAUCUACAGUCAGGCAACCUGGGAGGAAUGCGCCAGAAUAUGCCCCCUUUUUGACUGGUGAUGCAAAGGCAGAAAUAAUUCUUCAUACAUAUUUUUUUUCAAAAAAAGGAUUUGGAGCAUGUGAUAAAUGCAGGGUAUAUCAGG